UGAACAUCAGCUGCUUUCUCCUGCUGAUUUAAACCUUGUUGGACAGAUGGAACAUUGGCUGUGGAUUAUUCUGGCUGCUCUUUUCUCUGAGUGUAAAGGAGAUUCAGUGAAGCAGACAGAAGGAGAACUUGUUGCUGCUGCAGGACAAUCACUGACUCUGGGAUGUACCUUUAAACCCAGUGGUGGAAAUGAUGCCUUGUUCUGGUAUAAACAAGAUAAAAACAGUUUCCCAAAGUUCAUGCUCAAGCAAUACUUCACAUCGAGAGAAAAGGCUCCAGAGUUCAACAACUACAGAUUCAAUGCAGAGAUCAAUGACAAAUCCUUCAACCUGACGAUCCAGGAUCUCCGUCCGUCAGAUUCUGCUGUGUACUACUGCGCUCUGCAGCCCACAGUGACAGGAAACACCAGAACCCUGUACUAAAACCUGCAGUACUCUACAGCAGCCACUAGAGGGCCUCACUUCCUGUUAUAUCUUUACAUUCAAGAUUAAGUCUGAUUUUGUAUGUGGGGAUAAAAAUGUGAGAGAAAAUGAUUUCCUUCUGAGUAAAUCCUGUUCAGUUUUCCUUAAU